rnacentral:rRNA from 1 species
UCCAGACUCCUACGGGAGGCAGCAGUGGGGAAUAUUGGACAAUGGGGGGAACCCUGAUCCAGCGACGCCGCGUGAGUGAAGAAGUAUUUCGGUAUGUAAAGCUCUAUCAGCAGGGAAGAAAGAAAUGACGGUACCUGACUAAGAGGCCCCGGCUAACUACGUGCCAGCAGCCGCGGUAAUACGUAGGGGGCAAGCGUUAUCCGGAUUUACUGGGUGUAAGGGGAGCGUAGACGGCGAUGCAAGUCUGAAGUGAAAGGCGGGGGCCCAACCCCCGGACUGCUUUGGAAACUGUAUGGCUGGGGUGCAGGAGAGGUAAGUGGAAUUCCUAGUGUAGCGGUGAAAUGCGUAGAUAUUAGGAGGAACACCAGUGGCGAAGGCGGCUUACUGGACUGUAACUGACGUUGAGGCUCGAAAGCGUGGGGAGCAAACAGGAUUAGAUACCCGAGUAUC